AUGCGGGUGUUUACACGUUUAAUUUCGCGGAUUUAGUAAUAGCAGUUGAAUAAAGUAGUUCGAAAUGAAUAGAAUAGUUGUCUGGUUAGUUCUGAAACCCAAUGUUGACUGUGAUUUCGCAUGUAGGAAUUCGUGAAUAGUUUGUGAAAUUGGUACAGCUGUCUAGUUUUGUGCAUGUGAUUUUCAGUGUUCGCUUUUGGGAUUAUAUUGAUUAUAUUCAACAGAAAAAGAGAAUCAUCUACCAGUACCAAGGUAAUAUUUGUUGCCAGUAGCUGUAUAAAUCUUCAUUUAUUUCACUUAUAGAAAUUUAGAAUUUUAAGACUAUGUAAACCAAUGGUAAAAAAUUUGAAUUUAUAAUGAUCCAUCAUUACAAAAUUGUAAUUCACCCGAUCAGAUAUGAAAGAAAAAAAGAUAAUAAACACUAAUGGUUAUAAACUUAA
rnacentral:lncRNA from 1 species